CUAUCAACCAGAGCCGAAGUGGGGAACUUAAGGUGAAACUCGACAAUGAAUGUUAAGACAUACUUACGCCAUCUCGAGGCAACUCGACAAUGAAUGUUAAGACAGUCUUACGCCAUCUCGAGGAACCCGACAAUGAAUGUUAAGGUAACUUCACGCCAUCUCGAGGCAACUCGACAAUGAAUGUUGAUUUUACCUUACGCCAUCUCGGGGUUUGCCUUAGGGACGACCAUGGACGCACAGUAAACCAUUGAAAUGUCGGCCUGGGUUGAGGACUGGCAACGGUCCUUGGCUCGGUGUGGUGGUCUUAGUAGUGACGUGAGCCCUAGUGCGGCCCUAAAAAGUACGUACGCAGUUCACGCCAUGAAAAGAUUGCUGCAGGGUCGUUUGUCCAAUUGUCAAAGGGACCUUGACGGGUUGCUUUGAUAUUGAGGGGGCCUUGAUCGAUCCUCUUGAUGUUGGUGAGGCCUUCACGGGCUUCAUUGAUGUCAAGGGGGGAACGACCGGCUUCUUUGGUAUCUUGGUGACCUUGAUGGGACCUGAUGAUGAGAAGACAGACGGGAUCGCCUAUUUAACUAACAAACCUUAAAACUAACAAUCUAAAGUACCGUGCACCGGGGGUUUUCCUUGUGCACACCCAAAAGACAACCUACAACAACGGAUAUCUCGGCUCUCGCAUCGAUGAAGAACGCAGCGAACUGCGAUACCUAAUGUGAAUUGCAGAAUUCCGUGAAUCAUCGAAUCUUUGAACGCAUAUUGCACUCGAGGCUUCGGCUUAGAGUAUGUCUGCCUCAGCGUCGAUGUAACCAUCACAUUCCCAUAUAUGGCCAAAAGCCUAUGUGGGGUUAUGUGGAUCUGACCGUCUCGGGAGCUUCAAUGAGCCCGGGUCGGUUUAAGUUUACAGAGGUGACCUUUGCCUGACCGUUAUGGGACCUCGACAAUGAAUGUUAAGGGAGUCUUACGCCAUCUCGGGGAAACUCGACAAUGAAUGUUAAGACAACCUUACGCCAUCUCGAGGGUUGCUUCUAGGUAGGCUCAAGGCAACUUGAGCAUAUUUAGAGGUGGCUUGCCUAAUAAUGGGACGGACAUCAUUGGUUUGCCACUCAAACUUGGAAUGGCCGCUGCCUGAAUAGAUAAGGAAGGGACCCUUCAUUGGGUCUCGACUUUUGACAUAAAGGUAGUAGCUUUAACCUUACAUCAUCGACCUAGCUCAGCAGAC
rnacentral:misc_RNA from 1 species